CCUACGGGAGGCAGCAGUGGGGAAUAUUGCUCAAUGGGCGAAAGCCUGACGCAGCGACGCCGCGUGAGGGAUGAAGGUCUUCGGAUCGUAAACCUCUUUCAGCAGGGAAGAACGGUCACUGUGCUAAUCAGCAGUGAAUUGACGGUACCUGCAAAGGAAGCACCGGCUAACUCCGUGCCAGCAGCCGCGGUAAUACGGAGGGUGCGAGCGUUAAUCGGAAUUACUGGGCGUAAAGCGCACGUAGGCGGUAUGUCAAGUCAAGGGUGAAAUCCCCGCGCUUAACGCGGGAAUUGCCUUUGAAACUGGAAAGCUGGAGUGUGUGAGAGGAUGGUGGAAUUCCAGGUGUAGGGGUGAAAUCCGUAGAUAUCUGGAGGAACAUCGGUGGCGAAGGCGACUAUCUGGCACAAAACUGACGCUGAGGAGCGAAAGCGUGGGUAGCAAACAGGAUUAGAUACCCUUGUAGUC
rnacentral:rRNA from 1 species